CCGGCGCACGGGUGAGUAACACGUAUCCAACCUGCCGUCUACUCUUGGCCAGCCUUCUGAAGGAAGAUUAAUCCAGGAUGGCAUCAUGAGUUCACAUGUCCGCAUGAUUAAAGGUAUUUUCCGGUAGACGAUGGGGAUGCGUUCCAUUAGAUAGUAGGCGGGGUAACGGCCCACCUAGUUAACGAUGGAUAGGGGUUCUGAGAGGAAGGUCCCCCACAUUGGAACUGAGACACGGUCCAA
rnacentral:rRNA from 1 species